rnacentral:rRNA from 1 species
GACGAACGCUGGCGGCGUGCUUAACACAUGCAAGUCGAACGGAAAGGCCCUGCUCUUGUGGGGUGCUCGAGUGGCGAACGGGUGAGUAACACGUGAGUAACCUGCCCUUGACUUUGGGAUAACUUCAGGGAACUGGGGCUAAUACCGGAUAGGAGCUACUGCUGCAUGGUGGGGGUUGGUAAGUUUCGGCGGUUGGGGAUGGACUCGCGGCAUAUCAGCUUGUUGGUGGGGUAGUGGCUUACCAAGGCUUUGAAGGGUAGCCGGCCUGAGAGGGUGACCGGCGUCAUUAGGCCUGAGAUACGCAGCAGAAGCCAACGGGACGCAGCAGUGGAGAAUAUUGCAGAGUGGGGGGAAGCGUGAUGCGGCAACCCCGCGAGCGGGAUGACGGGCUUCGGGUUGUAAACCGCUGUCGCCUGUGACGAGGCGUGAGUGACGGUAAUGGGUAAAGAAGCACCGGCUAACUACGUG